rnacentral:rRNA from 1 species
UACGGGGGGAGUCAGCGUUGUUCGGAUUUACUGGGCGUAAAGGGCGCGUAGGCGGCCACUGCAAGUCAGUUGUGAAAUCUCCGGGCUUAACCCGGAAAGGUCAACUGAUACUGCAGGGCUAGAGUGCAGAAGGGGCAACUGGAAUUCUCGGGUGUAGCGGUGAAAUGCGUAGAUAUCGAGAGGAACACCUGCGGCGAAGGCGGGUUGCUGGGCUGACACUGACGCUGAGGCGCGAAAGCCAGGGGAGCGAACGGG